rnacentral:rRNA from 1 species
AAAUGAAUUGACGGGGACCCGCACAAGCGGUGGAGCAUGUGGUUUAAUUCGAAGCAACGCGAAGAACCUUACCUGGUCUUGACAUCCCGAUGAAUAAAGUGUAAUGGCUUUAGUACUUCGGUACAUUGGAGACAGGUGGUGCAUGGUUGUCGUCAGCUCGUGUCGUGAGAUGUUGGGUUAAGUCCCGCAACGAGCGCAACCCUUAUCUUUAGUAGCCAGCAGUAAGAUGGGCACUCUAGAGAGACUGCCGGGGAUAACCCGGAGGAAGGUGGGGAUGACGUCAAAUCAUCAUGCCCCUUAUGACCAGGGCUACACACGUGCUACAAUGGCGUAAACAAAGGGAAGCGAAAUGGUGACAUGGAGCAAAUCCCAAAAAUAACGUCCCAGUUCGGAUUGUAGUCUGCAACUCGACUACAUGAAGCUGGAAUCGCUAGUAAUCGCGAAUCAGCAUGUCGCGGUGAAUACGUUCCCGGGUCUUGUACACACCGCCCGU